rnacentral:lncRNA from 1 species
UUCUAUCUUGCCCUCAUCUCUUCUUUCUUUCCUCCUAUUGCAGGUGGGUCUCAGAGUUUUCUUCAGUUUCUAUAGUGGUCUGCUCCGACAAGCAAUUAACCCGAAGCAACAAUAAUCUCUGAGCGCAACCACUCUUCAUUCGAUGAAUACAAGUCAGAUACUUGAAAGAGAGAGAGAGACAGGUAUAGGGCGAGCACCUUAGAUUGGUGGAGGAAACGUGUAGAAAUGGAAUGAGGAGGCGAAGGGAAGAGUUCGGCAUGUUACAAACAAGAGAUAGAGAUCAACAUCAAAAGCUUUCCAGGAUACUUAUUGACCAUUGACAGGAACAUAUAUACAAACUUUGGAUUCGAAAGAACCAACACCAACCAGGUCAGAUUUGAUCUUCAGCAGCAAGGUGUUCAGACUAGAAAGCAA